CCUCAAUAUAAUCUAUUUGCCCACCUCUCGCUUCAAGCACGAUAAGCUUGCAUUCAGGUUUGUUUUUGUUGAGUUCAUAUGCAGCUGUCAACCCAGCGGCUCCAGCACCGAUCACUAUAACAUCAUAUAUAUUCUCCAUUUACACAAGUUUGAAAAUCAAUCCAAAACAACAGCGUGUAGCUCCAGAGAUGCAGCCCUAUCCUAGACAGCCAAGUCUCUUGGUACGGUCAUGUAAAAGCUGAUUAGAUAAUGAUAUACAAAGAUUCUCCGCACAGUUCUUGAAUGGCUCACAGCUGAACAUUGACAUGCGCCAGACAAUGC